rfam:Myotis lucifugus cont2.23653, whole genome shotgun sequence.
AUCGCUUCUCGGCCUUUUGGCUAAGAUCAAGUGUAGUAUCUGUUCUUAUCAGUUUAAAACUACAUUCAGAAUAGGACUAUAUGGAGUUUGGAAAGGUUCUUUUGUGGAAUUCUUGUCCCAAAAGCUUUGCUUGGCAACAACUGAGAAUAAUCAGACACCACACUCUACAGUCUCAGUUUUCUAAUUUUG